UCGCCNUGNUUUNNNAAAAACAUGUCUUUUUGAUUAUAAUAUAAAGUCUAAUCUGCCCACUGAAAUUAAUUUGAAGGGCCGCGGUAUAUUGACUGUGCAAAGGUAGCAUAAUCAUUUGUCUUUUAAUUGAAGACUGGAAUGAAUGAUUGAAUGAAAUAUUGACUGUCUCAAUUUUAUAAAUUAAAAAUUUAGCUUUUAAGUUAAAAGGCUUAAAUUAAAUUAAAAGACGAGAAGACCCUAUAGAUUUUUAUAAUUAAUUUGUAUUUUAUAUAAUAGAAUAAUAAAUUUUAAAAUAUAAAUAAUUAUUUUAUUGGGGUGAUAAAAAAAUUUAAAAAACUUUUUUUAUAAAUUUAACAUUAAUUUAUGAAUAAUUGAUCCAUUAUUAAUGAUUAAAAGAUUAAGUUACCUUAGGGAUAACAGCGUAAUUUUUUUAAAGAGUUCUUAUCGAAAAAAAAGAUUGCGACCUCGAUGUUGAAUUAAAGUAAUAUUUAAAUGAAGAAGUUUAAAUUUUAGGUCUGUUCGACCUUUAAAUCUUUACAUGAUCUGA
rnacentral:rRNA from 1 species